UAUGAACUUUGAGGACGUGGCCAUUGCGUUCUCUCGGAAGGAGUGGGAGAUCCUUGAUGAAUCUCAGAGACGUCUGUACUGUGAUGUGAUGCUGGAAGUGUUUGCACUUGUAUCAUUUGUAGGUCCUUGGCAUAAAAUGAAUGAUGUGGAGGCCUAUUCUCAGCACAGUGUAUCUGUAGGAGAGUCUCAUGUCAGGGCUUCCAAGACAGCUGCAGCCACCCAGAGGACCCAUCUGUGUAAGCCGUGCUUCUCAGUGUUAAAAGAUAUUUUGCACCUGACUGAGUUACAAGUGGUUUACUUUGAGAAGAACGUGUUCUUAAGUGAUGCAUGUGUGAGAGACUUGUGUUUCAGUGCAAACUCUCACCAGCAACAGAAGGAUGCCAGUGGAGAGAAGCCCUGGAAAGAAGAUAUGGAGAGGUCCCCGCUUGGGACCAGUUGCUGCUUCUACUUAUGCAGGGUGCCUGCAGCCAGGACGGAGGUUGGGGAAGACUCCCCAGCCAUCUCAGAGCUUCUCCAGCACCAGGCCACUCUUAACACUAUGGAGCCACACAGUAACAAUGAGAUUUCACAGGAAUGUCUCAGUGGAAAAAGACAUCACCAGUGGAUUGAAUGUGAAACAGCUGCCAGCCAGAAACAGAAAGUUGCUUAUCAGAAAGGUCUCUGCUCUGGAGAUAUGAUUUAUGGUUCUAAUAAAUGUGGGAAACGGUUUAGACGAAUCUUUAACCAACCUCAACAUGGAAGAGUUCACACUGGAGAAAAGCCGUUUGAGUGUACUGAUUGUGGGAAGGUCUUCAGUGAAAGCACUGCUCUCAUUAAACACAGCAGAGUUCACAUUAGAGAAAAGCCAUAUGAGUGUAGUGAUUGUGAGAAGUCCUUCAGUUACAUGUCUGACUUCACUAGACACCGCAGAGUUCACACCGGAGAAAAGCCAUAUGGGUGUAGCGAAUGUGGUAAGCAUUUCAGUCAAAGGACUGACCUUAUUACCCACCAAAGAAUUCACACUGGAGAAAAGCCAUAUGCAUGUAGUGAAUGUGGGAAGCAUUUCAGUCAAAAGACUGACCUCACUAAACACCAGAGAGUUCACACUGGUGAAAAGCCCUAUGAGUGUAGUAAUUGUGGGAAAUCCUUUAGUAAAAGCUAUAGCCUCAGUCGACACAAGAGAGUUCAGACUCGUGAAUGUAGUAAGUAUAGUGAAUGUGGAAAAUCUUUUAGCUACAAACAUAAACCGGCUAGACACCCGAGAGUUCACACUGGAGAAAAGUCAUAUUGUUGUAGCGAAUGUGGUAAGCAUUUCACUCGACGGACUGACCUUAUUAAACACCACAGAGUUCACACUGGAGAAAAGCCUUAUGAGUGUAGUGAAUGUGGGAAGUCCUUUCGUCAAAGUUCUAACCUGACUACACAUCGCAAGAGAGUUCACACUGGAGAAAAGCCGUAAAGGUGCAGGGAAUGUUUUAUUUUUCUCACUUAGAAUAAGAACACUUAAGGAGACUCUAUGGGACCCACUUAUGUGAAUGUAAACUCCAUUUAUGAGAACAUACACUCUGCUAGAUUCCUCAUAAAUUUCCAAUACAAGUGAGACUUGAAGGAACUGCAUUGUACUUGCUAACAUGCCCAGACCUACGACCCAAAUGGUGUCACCGUGUUUGUUGCUGAAGAGAUUUCACCUCUAACACCUGGCUCACCUGAGGAGUGUACAUGGUCAUCAUCCCUGGGUGCUCAGGGGAAUGUGUUCUGUGUUGUCACUUCUGCUUGAAGUAAUUAUGGUUCCUCCAAGCCCUUGGCAGUAUCUUCAUUCAUUUCUCUAUGACUAGAAGAUGGACCUGACCCAGGAUUCAUCCCGAGCACCCCUUCUCAGCUAAGCAGUGCUACCUCUUUCAGGGACAUAGUGGUACUCACAUUAUGCUUUGAUAAAUUUUGGGGGUUUCUUAUUCACCAACCUGCAAACUCUGUGCUCUCCUCUGCUCUGGUUUACCAUCUUUUUUAAAGGUGUUUUAUAUUUGUGUUAUUAUUAAUUAUUGUAUUAUUUUCAGUAUCAACAACUGUAAACCUGCUAUUGCCACACCCUGUAUUUACUUCCAGUCCUUUUGUCAGCUUUCUGCCUCCCCCCCUGCCCUCCAUACAGGCAUUGAUUUACCUUCCCGUACAAUAGAGUAGUUCAUAUUUUUCAUAAUUGUAUUGGCAUUAUAAGGUGAUGAAUUCUCUUUAAGGAACACUGGCUUCCUUCAUGCUACACAGAUAUUUUGAGAUUCGACAGUAAUGUUUAUGUAAAUAGUUAAUUUUUUAUUGCUAGGAAAUACUGUAUUCUAUGGAUAACCACUCUAACUAUUGAGCUGUCUAUGGUUUCAGUUAUUUCUACGUUUGGGGUUUUCUAAAUAAAACAGCUGGGGAUAUUGUAUUC